rnacentral:rRNA from 1 species
UACGAAGGGGGCUAGCGUUGUUCGGAAUUACUGGGCGUAAAGCGCACGUAGGCGGAUACUUAAGUCAGGGGGUGAAAUCCCGGGGCUCAACCCCGGAACUGCCUUUGAUACUGGGUAUCUCGAGUCCGGAAGAGGUGAGUGGAAUUCCGAGUGUAGAGGUGAAAAUUCGUAGAUAUUCGGAGGAACACCAGUGGCGAAAGGCGGCUCACUGGUCCGGUACUG